GAAGGUAUAGCUCAAGAGGUAGAGCACAUGCUUGGCACACACAAGGUCCUGGGUUCAAUCUCCAGUACCUCCU
rnacentral:tRNA from 1 species